UCGUAUACAGGGGAAAUUCCUUUGAAUACGGCGGAUUUGUCGGCGUACCCGGGGAACGUGUAAUUCGGGGCGUGACAGAUGAAGUUGGUAUCAGAGUUUUGUUAUAGGUCAUUGGGACCUAGAAACCCUAAGUUGGCAAACCUUAGGAAAGCAAGACGCGAGAGGCGUAAUUUAUUGCGAAAGUCAAUAAUUAGUUGUUUUAACUCUUCCUAGAGUGGAGUGAGUGAUUGAAGGAGUACCUAUUUUGGUCUGAGAAAUUAUGUUGGCUGCAGACGACAUAGUUUUGGAAGGAAACAGGGACCGCCUUCCAGACUUUCGUUGAUUGGGUCAAGAGUGUUUGUGUUUCAACUGACCCCGAUCUGUUCCUUUCAGCUAUGUAUCGUCGCCGAGGUCGACCGUCGUUGCGGGAGCGU
rnacentral:lncRNA from 1 species